CCUACGGGUGGCUGCAGUGGGGAAUUUUCCGCAAUGGGCGAAAGCCUGACGGAGCAAUACCGCGUGAGGGAGGAAGGUUUUUGGAUUGUAAACCUCUUUUUUAAAGGAAGAAGAAAGUGACGGUACUUUAAGAAUAAGCAUCGGCUAACUCCGUGCCAGCAGCCGCGGUAAUACGGAGGAUGCAAGCGUUAUCCGGAAUCAUUGGGCGUAAAGCGUCCGCAGGUGGUUAAUCAAGUCUGCUGUUAAAGACAGAAGCUCAACUUCUGAUAGGCAGUGGAAACUGGUAAACUAGAGUACGGUAGGGGUUGAGGGAAUUCCCAGUGUAGCGGUGAAAUGCGUAGAUAUUGGGAAGAACACCAGUGGCGAAGGCGCUCAACUGGGCCGUAACUGACACUCAGGGACGAAAGCUAGGGUAGCGAAAGGGAUUAGAUACCCAAGUAGUC
rnacentral:rRNA from 1 species